rnacentral:rRNA from 1 species
CGCUGGCGGCGUGCCUAACACAUGCAAGUCGAGCGAGGAGAUUCCUCGGGAUGAUCCUAGCGGCGGACGGGUGAGUAACACGUGGGCAACCUGCCUCAUAGAGAGGAAUAGCCUUCCGAAAGGGAGAUUAAUACCUCAUAACAUUGCAGUUUCGCAUGGAACAGCAAUUAAAGGAGUAAUCCGCUAUGAGAUGGGCCCGCGGCGCAUUAGCUAGUUGGUGAGGUAACGACUCACCAAGGCGACGAUGCGUAGCCGACCUGAGAGGGUGAUCGGCCACAUUGGGACUGAGACACGGCCCAGACUCCUACGGGAGGCAGCAGUGGGGAAUAUUGCACAAUGGGGGAAACCCUGAUGCAAGCAACGCCGCGUGAGUGAUGACGGCCUUCGGGUUGUAAAGCUCUGUCUUCAGGGACGAUAAUGACGGUACCUGAGGAGGAAGCCACGGCUAACUACGUGCCAGCCGCAGC